rnacentral:rRNA from 1 species
UACAGGGGGUGCAAACGUUGCUCGGAAUUAUUGGGCGUAAAGCGCACGUAGGCGGUUUGUUAUGUCGGAUGUGAAAGCCCUUGGCUCAACUGAGGAAGUGCAUCCGAAACUGGCAAGCUAGAGUAUGUAAGAGGGUCGCGGAAUUCCCGGUGUAGAGGUGAAAUUCGUAGAUAUCGGGAGGAACACCGGUGGCGAAGGCGGCGACCUGGGACAAUACUGACGCUGAGGUGCGAAAGCGUGGGGAGCAAACAGGG